rnacentral:rRNA from 1 species
GAAUUGUAAACUGUUGUCGCAAGGGAAGAAGACAGUGACGGUACCUUGUGAGAAAGUCACGGCUAACUACGUGCCAGCAGCCGCGGUAAUACGUAGGUGACAAGCGUUGUCCGGAUUUACUGGGUGUAAAGGGCGCGUAGGCGGACUGUCAAGUCAGUCGUGAAAUACCGGGGCUUAACCCCGGGGCUGCGAUUGAAACUGACAGCCUUGAGUAUCGGAGAGGAAAGCGGAAUUCCUAGUGUAGCGGUGAAAUGCGUAGAUAUUAGGAGGAACACCAGUGGCGAAGGCGGCUUUCUGGACGACAACUGACGCUGAGGCGCGAAAGUGUGGGGAGCAAACAGGAUUAGAUACCCUGGUAGUCCACACCGUAAACGAUGGAUACUAGGUGUAGGAGGUAUCGACCCCUUCUGUGCCGCAGUUAACACAAUAAGUAUCCCACCUGGGGAGUA